UUCAACUAUCUUAUAAAGAUAAAAAAACACAUAUCAUAGUCCAGCUGUGCUUAUCACUGACUCCAUAACAUAGCAUAAGAGGUUCAAAUACAGGCAGAACAUUCAUUACAACAUAGUUCAUAACUUAGCAUUAAAGGUUCUAGUAGCAUACACUACAGUUCUUAACAUUGGCAUAGACAUAGACUAGAUUAGCUUCACAUUCCCCAAAAUGUACACCCCAUAUCUUCACAUCAGAUUGUUAGGCACAUACUUAUAAAGGCCUUAGAUGUACUUC
rnacentral:lncRNA from 1 species